GACGAACGCUGGCGGCGUGCUUAACACAUGCAAGUCGAACGGUGAAAGCGGAGCUUGCUCCGCUGGAUCAGUGGCGAACGGGUGAGUAACACGUGGGCAACCCGCCCCUCACUUCGGGAUAACUCCGGGAAACCGGGGCUAAUACCGGAUAUGACCUCCUUGGGCAUCCUUGGAGGUGGAAAGUUUGUCGGUGAGGGAUGGGCCCGCGGCCUAUCAGCUUGGUGGUGAGGUAGUGGCUCACCAAGGCGACGACGGGUAGCCGGCCUGAGAGGGCGACCGGCCACACUGGGACUGAGACACGGCCCAGACUCCUACGGGAGGCAGCAGUGGGGAAUAUUGCGCAAUGGGCGAAAGCCUGGCGCAGCAACGCCGCGUGCGGGAUGACGGCCUUCGGGUUGUAAACCGCUUUCAGCAGGGAAGAAGCCGCAAGGUGACGGUACCUGCAGAAGAAGCACCGGCUAACUACGUGCCAGCCGCCGCCGUAA
rnacentral:rRNA from 1 species